CGUCAAUAACAUAAAUGGCCACUCGCGAGAGGGGGCGGAUCCAGACAGCCGAGGCCAAGUAAAACGGCACGGAGAACCUCGGUGAUCGUUUAGGGAGCUAACCAAAACAAUAUCAGGCAGUCACCUCUGCCAACUAUUAGCGAAGAAGAGGUCUCAACUGAGUGUCGGGGGCUCCUUUUCUCUGUUGUCCCCCAUAGCUGUGCCAUGUAGAAGGCAGUGAUUCGCCCUUCAACUUUUGCAAAUGAAAAUGGAGGAUAUGUCUCUGUCGGC